CGGAGCUGAGCGAGCGGGAGUGGCGGCACAACUUUAUCAUGAUGUUUCGUUCCUCAACAAACUCAAAAGCACUAAGAUGGAGUGGGGUAAUAACUACCUGAUGAGAUGGAGACACAGAUUGUUGCCAAAUCAAACUCCAGAAAGAGACGGAAGGACGGAGUAGGACCCAAUGGCACCACUGACGACGAAGACGUCAGCCCAAUGAAAAUUGCACGACCUACCCUCUCGCAGCCGGCACCCUUCGCGGCCGAGAAUGGAGUGAAGAGCGAGAAAGCGUAUGAGCGCGUGACGUUGGAAGAAGCGAGGAUUGGGACUCCCAUGGAUCGCCCAGUUCGAGUUUAUGCCGACGGAAUCUUCGAUCUGUUUCACUCUGGACACGCGCGGGCACUGAUGCAGGCCAAGAGCCUUUUCCCAAACACCCAUCUAAUAGUAGGCGUGUGCAAUGACGACCUGACCCACCAGUUCAAAGGCUUCACAGUCAUGAAUGAGGCUGAGCGCUAUGAUGCAGUCAGGCAUUGCCGUUAUGUAGAUGAGGUGGUGCGAAAUGCACCCUGGUCACUGUCGGCCGAGUUCCUGGAAAUGCACAGGAUUGAUUUUGUGGCUCAUGAUGAUAUCCCAUAUUCCUCUGCAGGAAGUGAUGACGUUUACAAACACAUUAAAGACGCAGGCAUGUUUGCCCCAACUCAGAGAACAGAAGGAAUCUCCACAUCAGAUAUCAUUACCAGAAUCGUGCGGGAUUAUGACGUAUACGUGCGUAGAAACCUGCAGCGUGGUUACACUGCCAAAGAACUCAAUGUCAGCUUUAUAAACGAAAAGAAAUAUAACUUGCAGGAACGAGUUGACAAAGUUAAGCAGAAGGUUAAAGAUGUGGAAGAGAAGUCGAAGGAGUUUGUCCAGAAGGUUGAGGAGAAGAGCAUCGACCUGAUUCAGAAAUGGGAGGAGAAGUCCAGAGAAUUCAUCGGAAACUUCCUAGAGAUGUUUGGUCCAGAGGGAGCCUUGAAACACAUGCUAAAGGAGGGUAAAGGUCGAAUGCUACAAGCGAUCACCCCGAAACAGAGUCCGAGCAACAGUCCAGCCCGGGAGCGUUCACCCUCGCCCACCUUCCGAUGGCCAUUUUCCAAGACCUCGCCACCCUGCUCGCCGAAACCAGAGUCGGACACGGCUGGUUAUGACAUCAGUGAUGACGAUUCAGAGUAAAGGUCCUGCUCGUUCUCUCCUGGAUUCUUUGUUCACCUCUAACACCUAUCCCCUCCAAUUCUAUCUAUCAAUUGCCUAUGAUCUACAAGGACUACAGGCUAGAGAGUAUGGGCGUCAUUAGCAAGACCAGCAUUUUUGCCCAUCCCUAAUGGCUCCUUGCUGCUACACUGUUGGUUUGGCUAUCACCCAAGGAUUUAUCCCUGCCCUCUCUCCUAUUUCCUAUCUAUGUGCUGGCCCGUACUUCUGUGAAAUGGCUUGAGACAUUUUAUUUUAUCAUCUGAAAAUCAAGUUCUACAUGUACAUUGAUGGCACCCAGCUCUACCUCACCACCACUUCUCAACCCCUUCAGACUAUUUGUCUGACGAUCACUACAGGGCAGAAAUUUCCUCCAUCUAAAUAUUGACGAGACCAAAGCAUUGCCUCUGACCCUGAUACAAACCCCAUUUCCUAGCUACCAACUCCAUCCUUCUCCCUGGCCACUGCCUGGGACUAUUUGCAACAUUGAUGUCUUGCCUGACCCCAAUAUAAGCUACAGCCCACAUCUGCUCCAUGAAUAAGACUUCCUGUUUUCACCUCUAACAUUGUGCGACUUCGCCUCAACUCAGCUCGACUGCUGAAACCUUCAUCCAUGCCUUUGUUAGCUCCAGACUGGAUUAUUCCAGUGCUCCCCUGGCCAACCUCCCAUGUUCUACUCUCCAUAAGCUUGUCAUCCAAAACUCUGCAGCCUGUGUUCUAACUCGCAACAAGCCCCAUUCACCUGUCACCCUUUGUGUCAUUGAGUUCCAUUAGCUCCCAGUGAAGCAACACCUCAAUUUUUAAAGUUUUCAUCCUUGGUUUCACAACCUUCCCUAUCUCUGUAAUCUCUUCCAGCCCCGCAAUCCUCCAGCAUCGCAGCGCUCCCCUAAUUCUGGCCUCAUGAACAUCUCCAAUUUUAAUCACUCCACCACUGGUGGCCGUGCCUUCAACAUCCUGGCCUAAGCUCUGGAACUGCCUCCCUAAACCCCUCCCCCUCUCUUCCUUGCUUUCCUCCUUUAAGAUGCUCCUUAAAACCUAUCUCUUUGAUCAAGCUUUAGGUCAUCUGUCCUAAUAUCUCCUUAUGUACCUGGGUGUCAAAUUUUGCUUUGCAAUGCUCGUGUGGGGCAGGACAUAACCAAGGAUGGUGAUAAAGGAGUGGUAGAUAUUGGCUGAAAGGUAUGUAUCUGUGAGUAUGAUUGUGACAGGCUGUUGCUUGACCAGCCUGCGGGGCAGCCUCUUCUUAUUUUCACAAGGCCUCAGAUGUUAACGGGGUGGACUGCGUUGGUCAUUGGCCUUUGCAGAGGGGGCAGUUAAGAGUCAGCUGCAUUGCUGUGGGUCUGGAGCGACAUGUGGACCAGACCAGGUAAGGAUGGCAGAUUCCCUUCCCUAAAGGACAUUAGUGAACCAGAGAUGAGGGUUUUUAUGACAAUCCAGUAGUUUUACCGUUACUGAUGAUGGCUUUUUAUUCCAGGUUUAUUUAGAUUCCCCAGCUGCCAUGGUGGGAUUCAGCCCAUGUCCCUGGGCCGCGAGGCCAAGAUUCAGCCCAUGUCCCUGGGCCGCGAGGCCAAGAUUCAGCCCAUGUCCCUGGGCCGCGAGGCCAAGAUUCAGCCCAUGUCCCUGGGCCGCGAGGCCAAGAUUCAGCCCAUGUCCCUGGGCCGCGAGGCCAAGUUUCUGGGUUACUAGUUCAGUAACAUAAGCGCUGUGCUACAGCAGCCCUGCCUGCAGAACACAGGGCUUUACAGCCAGGAAAAGUUGGAUUGUAAAGAUGUUUGUUGUCCUGUCAGCUGUGCUUUGCCUGGUUUUUUUUCAGAAUUUUGUGGAAGUUACAAUCUCUUUACUUAGAAAAAAAGGAAAUGAGGCUUUUUAACACCCCCGUACUCUAAACGGGGUUAAUUGAGAGCACUGUGUGACUAUUAUUUUAUUACAUGCUGCACUGUAAUAGCAAUGGAUUAUAAAUAGGCUGCACUGAAAUCUGCACUUUGCUCUGUGUCAUCUUUGUCUUGUGUUUCUGGAGGUGCUUUAAGGGUAGCGCAUGCAUUUACGUAGCGUCUUUCAUGACCUCAGGAUGUCCCAAAACACUUUGCAGUUGCUGAACUGCUGUGUGAAGUGCAGUUGCUGUUGUAUUGUCAGGAGACAGGAGAACAUUGCCAAACAUUUUGAGGUGUCUCGUAUCACAAGUGCUAGCUCAACAGCCCGAGCAUGGUGAGGCACUGAAACCAGCAUGGUGCAUUUUACAGUUUGGAGAAGCAAGUGAGAGUGAGAAGCAGAAGACAAGACUAAUGGCCGCCGGGUCACUUCUGACGGUUGGAUUGAGACCCCUUUGGGGCUUGGGGGAAGCUUGGGUUUGAUAGGUGUGUGAGAGCUCUCAAAUUGGAAAGGGGAGAGGGAUGGGGAAUGAUGGCCACUGUUCAUUGAGCAAGGUGAGAUGGACCCCAGUCACACCCUCCCUGUUCACUGAGAUUUGACAAGGGGUUUCCCAGGGAAUACGCAACACAGGAGGUACACUGGUAGCAAUAGUCGUGAAGCAAUAGGCUCCCGUGCAAUCAGCUCACUCACUAAAACCUAACCAUUAGCUGAGUCAGACUGACCCUUGAUGCCCCCCCACCCCCAAUUCACAUCUCAUAGGUGGGCAGGAAUGUAAACUGGGCAGGGCUUUGUCUUACUAUUACAGCGAAAUAAGGAAUCCCAAACUAUACGAACCUUCCUUUGCAUGUUGGCAGCAGGGGGAGGAGAAUUUCUCGACUAGCUUUGUGCAAAGGAUCUGUGUGUUAUUUAUGCAAUGCAAUGUGUCUGUUCCUGUGGGCAAUCCUCGUGAACCGUUUAAAUUUAUACAUUAAAAAAGUGACUUAAUUUCUAGACUUUUUUUUGUUAACAAAUUUGCGGGGCGGAGGUGGGGGUUAAAUUAAAAAUAGUUGAAGUGCAAGGUGCUGUGAGAUUGGCUCUGAACUGGGAUUUGUAAUAGACUUGCAUGUUGUCAAUAAGUGGAUUCUGUGCUGAUCUUUUAAAUCAACCUUCAGCUGUCAAACAGUGGAAAAUUGUCUGAUUAAACUGCACUAAAGUAAACUUCCGUCUAGUGUCCCUUCUCUCUUCUGUCGAACCGGUGUGUUGUUUCGCGGCGUUAAAAAGUUUCCUCUCCUCCCCUCCUCUCCCAGUGGAACUCGAUACUUGCUCGAGUUACAGGUUCCUCUUUCCCCAACACCCAAUCCGAGGGAACUGGGGGUUGGAGAGUUGUCCUGUUAGGAGAAAUUGAGUAUAAUGGGCCUACAUUCUUUGAAAUUCAGGGGAAUGAGAGGUGCUCACAUUGAAACGUAAAAUGCUGAAAGGGCUUGACAGAGUGGAUGCUGAGGGGCUGUUUCCUCUGACUGGAGUGUCUAG